rnacentral:rRNA from 1 species
CGGACGGGUGAGUAAUGUCUGGGAAACUGCCUGAUGGAGGGGGAUAACACUGGAAACGGUAGCUAAUACCGCAUAACGUCGCAAGACCAAAGAGGGGGACCUUCGGGCCUCUUGCCAUCGGAUGUGCCCAGAUGGGAUUAGCUAGUAGGUGGGGUAACGGCUCACCUAGGCGACGAUCCCUAGCUGGUCUGAGAGGAUGACCAGCCACACUGGAACUGAGACACGGUCCAG